rnacentral:tRNA from 1 species
GGCACCAUAGCUCAGUAGUUAGAGCACCAGCCCUUCAAACUGAUGGCAGUGAGUUUGAACCUCACCUGGGCCU